rnacentral:rRNA from 1 species
AGCGAGCGCUGGCGGCAGGCCUAACACAUGCAAGUCGAACGAACUCUUCGGAGUUAGAGGCGGACGGGUGAGUAACACGUGGGAACGUGCCUUUAGGUUCGGAAUAACUCAGGGAAACUUGCGCUAAUACCGAAUGUGCCCUUCGGGGGAAAGAUUUAUCGCCUUUAGAGCGGCCCGCGUCUGAUUAGCUAGUUGGUGAGGUAAUGGCUCACCAAGGCGACGAUCAGUAGCUGGUCUGAGAGGAUGAUCAGCCACAUUGGGACUGAGACACGGCCCAAACUCCUACGGGAGGCAGCAGUGGGGAAUCUUGCGCAAUGGGCGAAAGCCUGACGCAGCCAUGCCGCGUGAAUGAUGAAGGUCUUAGGAUUGUAAAAUUCUUUCACCGGGGACGAUAAUGACGGUACCCGGAGAAGAAGCCCCGGCUAACUUCGUGCCAGCCGCCGCGGUAA